rnacentral:sRNA from 1 species
UUGGCGAUAUUUUUGGUUGGAAUGUAGUACCUGCUAAUAGUACUAAACGCUGCCACAAAAUAACCUGUCAGUUAUUUUCACCUAAAAAUAAA